UACGUAGGGUGCGAGCGUUGUCCGGAAUUAUUGGGCGUAAAGAGCUUGUAGGCGGUCUGUCGCGUCUGCUGUGAAAAUCCGGGGCUCAACCCCGGACUUGCAGUGGGGUACGGGCAGACUAGAGUGUGGUAGGGGAGACUGGAAUUCCUGGUGUAGCGGUGAAAUGCGCAGAUAUCAGGAGGAACACCGAUGGCGAAGGCAGGUCUCUGGGCCACUACUGACGC
rnacentral:rRNA from 1 species